GGGAUAUAGCUCAGUGGUAGAGCACUUGAUUAGCCUGCAUGAGGCCCUGGGUUCAACUCCUAGUAUCACCA
rnacentral:tRNA from 1 species